rnacentral:rRNA from 1 species
GAUGAACGCUGGCGGCGUGCCUAAUACAUGCAAGUCGAGCGAACAGACGAGGAGCUUGCUCCUCUGACGUUAGCGGCGGACGGGUGAGUAACACGUGGAUAACCUACCUAUAAGACGGGGAUAACUUCGGGAAACCGGAUCUAAUACCGGAUAAUAUAUUGAACCGCAUGGAUCAAUAGUUCAAGACGGUUUUGCUGUCACUUAUAGAUGGUUCCGCGCCGCAUUAGCUAGUUGGUAAGGUAACGGCUUACCAAGGCAACGAUGCGUAGCCGACCUGAGAGGGUGAUCGGCCACACUGGAACUGAGACACGGUCCAGACUCCUACGGGAGGCAGCAGUAGGGAAUCUUCCGCAAUGGGCGAAAGCCUGACGGAGCAACGCCGCGUGAGUGAUGAAGGUCUUCGGAUCGUAAAACUCUGUUAUUAGGGAAGAACAAAUGUGUAAGUAACUAUGCACGUCUUGACGGUACCUAAACAGAAAGCCACGGCUAACUACGUG